rnacentral:lncRNA from 1 species
CUGGCUUCUUGAGCCCAAGUUCGGUCGCUAGCGCUCUUCGUGCAUUCUUCGAGCUCCUUCGCAAAGUUCGCCUUCCUCCGGCUGUAGUCCAUGAUCGCCUUCACUUGGAGACUCUUGAAGUGGGCGGCCUCAGCGGCGGCCUCGGAAUAGCAUUUUUUCACCUGGCGGAGCUCGCCCUCCGACUUUUUCAACUUCUUCGUCAGGUGGAGGACCUCCUUUUUUAGCCGUUGGAUAGUUGACUUCAGCGGGACCCCCAGGGGCAAGGGAAGUGCUUCGACAGGACGCUGCCAUCGGAAGACGCAAACGUCAGAGACCAACUCUUUACAAGAAGAAAGGCAGAAAAGAAGAAGCAGGGGGAGGGAAAGGUCAUCCACAAUAAGAAGUUUGACUUUAUUGAUUAAUUUUGAAGACAAGCGGAAGGGAAAUAUGGCGAUAAAAGAAAGAUACAAGAUCGGAGGUCUCAGACCUCGGGGGCAGGGGGUGGAGAGCUCGACGCGGGGGGCGCGGCUGCGACGGCGGCGGACGGAGGGGCGGCCUCGUCGUCAGACUCCUCCAAAAAUCCGAGAUCAAGAUCGGGAUAUCUGCUGGCCAUCCUCUCUCGGCAGAGCUCGAACCCCUUGGUGAACGCCUCCAGGCCGAACUAGACGUUCAGCUCCCUCAUCUCCGCGGAGGUCUUGAACUCCUCCACUGCAAGGGUCCUGGCCUCCGAGACCAGAACCGGAGUUUGCUCGGCCAGAUGGGCGACUUCGGCCUCCGCCUUCCUUGCCGAUUUCUCCAAACUUCGCCUCUCCUCCUCCCGGACUCGCCUUUCCUCUUCCCGAUCUUGUCUCUCUCUCUCCAGAGCCUCCCGAAGGGCGGCCACCUCGGCCGUCUUCGCUUGAAGAUGAGCAACCUCGUCUUGGCAGCGCUCCUCCGCCCGAAGAAGAUCCCUUCUCAUGCGGCCUGACGCCUCAACAUAGGCGAAGAGCUGGUGCCCGAUCUGCAAAGACAGAUAGAGAAUUACAACAAAGACCGAGCAACUGAGCAAGUAAAAAUCUGCUUACCUCAAGAAAGGACCCCAAGGUGUCCCAGGCCCGCUGCUCGGGAUCGGCGCGGUCGAUCCUCUCCACGACAUUGGACAGGAUGCAACCAUCGAGCAGCCGGCGGAUUAGGGCCUUG